AGAUUUGUUUGAUCGUCUUGGC
rnacentral:miRNA from 1 species